UACGGAAGGCAGCAGUGGGGAAUAUUGCACAAUGGGCGAAAGCCUGAUGCAGCUAUGCCGCGUGUAUGAAGAAGGCCUUAGGGUUGUAAAGUACUUUCAUCGGGGAGGAAAAAACAAAACUAAUAAUUUUAUUUCUUGACGUUACCCGAAAAAGAAGCACCGGCUAACUCCGUGCCAGCAGCCGCGGUAAUACGGAGGGUGCUAGCGUUAAUCAGAAUUACUGGGCGUAAAGAGCACGUAGGUGGUUUUUUUAAAGUCAGAUGUGAAAAUCCCUGGGCUUAACCUAGGAACUGCAUUUUGAAACUGAAAUACUAGAGUAUCGUAGAGGGAGGUAGAAUUCUAGGUGUAGCGGUGAAAUGCGUAGAUAUCUGGAGGAAUACCUGUGGCGAAAGCGGCCUCCUAAACGAAUACUGACACUGAGGGUGCGAAAGCGUGGGGAGCAAACAGGGAUUAGAUACC
rnacentral:rRNA from 1 species